rnacentral:rRNA from 1 species
CGGGAGGCAGCAGUGGGGAAUAUGCACAAUGGAGGAAACUCUGAUGCAGCAACGCGCGUGGAGGAUGACGCAUUUCGGUGUGUAAACUCCUUUUAUAUGGGAAGAUAAUGACGGUACCAUAUGAAUAAGCACCGGCUAACUCCGUGCCAGCAGCCGCGGUAAUACGGAGGGUGCAAGCGUUACUCGGAAUCACUGGGCGUAAAGCGCGCGCAGGCGGCUAUUUAAGUUGGAUGUGAAAGCCUACAGCUCAACUGUAGAACUGCAUCCAAAACUAUUUAGCUAGAGUGUGGGAGAGGAAGAUGGAAUUAGUUGUGUAGGGGUAAAAUCCGUAGAGAUAACUAGGAAUACCAAAAGCGAAGGCAAUCUUCUGGAACACUACUGACGCUGAGGCGCGAAGGCGUGGGGAGCAAACAGGAUUAGAUACCCUGGUAGUCCACGCAGUAAACGAUGAAUGUUAGUCGUCGGGUAGCUAGUCUAUUCGGUGAUGCAGCUAACGCAUUAAACAUUCCGCCUGGGGAGUACGGUCGCAAGAUUAAAACUCAAAGGAAUAGACGGGGACCCGCACAAGUGGUGGAGCAUGUGGUUUAAUUCGAAGAUACGCGAAGAACCUUACCUAGCCUUGACAUAUAUUAGAACAUUUUAGAGAUAAGAUGGUGCCUUCGGGAGCUUUUAUACAGGUGCUGCACGGCUGUCGUCAGCUCGUGUCGUGAGAUGUUGGGUUAAGUCCCGCAACGAGCGCAACCCUCGUCACUAGUUACUAACGGUUCGGCCGAGGACUCUAGUGAGACUGCCUUCGUAAGGAGGAGGAAGGUGAGGACGACGUCAAGUCAUCAUGGCCCUUACGGCUAGGGCAACACACGUGCUACAAUGGUUGGGACAAUGAGACGCGAUACCGCGAGGUGGAGCAAAUCUAUAAACCCAAUCUCAGUUCGGAUUGUAGUCUGCAACUCGACUACAUGAAGCUGGAAUCACUAGUAAUCGUAGAUCAGCUAUGCUACGGUGAAUACGUUCCCGGGUCUUGUACUCACCGCCCGUCACACCAUGGGAGUCGAUUUCACCCGAAGCGGGGAAGCUAAACUGGCUACC